CUUAUCACAACAAUGUAAAUCACGCUGCAGGCUGAAUGGAUCAUCUAUAAAUCCAUGGCAGCAUCACUCUGUAAAAGACUUUGGUGCAUAUAUGAAAUUUCUUUUGCUGCAACUUGCUUUCCAGCUUUAGAGUUCUGCCAAAGUCUUCUUAGAUCUUUCCACUCACCACCUAGUUCCUUCCAAGAAUGGAAGGCGACUGAACUAGAUACAUUCCAUCUCAGAUCUGCAUCCAUUAUUUCACUUCCACAUUCCACCCUCCG
rnacentral:lncRNA from 1 species